AAAAAACAUCUCCCAAUCAUAUUAUCAUUUAUAUGAUUCCGAAAAAAUGCAUAGUGAGAUAAAGAUUAUAAUAACUUUGGUUGUUGUUUGCAGUCUCUUCUCUAUGUCUGGUGCAAGACUUGCCACUGCAACUUUCAGGGAAGAUUUUAAAAAGACUAAAUGCUUCGAUCGUGAUAUUGGAGCGGGCCCAGAUAAAGUAUUACAGGUCGUAGCUCUGAACAAAAAGAUUUUUAAGAAAGAAAUGUGCCAUCAGUUUAUGAAGGUUAAGUGUAUGGGUCCACCAAAAUGCAAGUACGAUGAAGUUAUGUAUGUGGAGAUUGCUGAUGGAUGUACUUCCGACGAACUUCUCCAAGACGAAGAUAUUUGCCUACACAAAUAUGUUUGGGAUACUUUGGCAGAUACUACCAAUAAUCCUACUCGUAUGAUAGUUGAUAUUGAAGGCCCUUUCAAGGGUAAUAUGUGAUUUGUUGUAUAGUGAUUUGUGGUUGUAUGUGUAUAUAAGGUUAGAUCUCUGACUAAUAAUUGCAUAUUUUUGCAUAAUUUAUAAAUGAAUGGCUUGCUUUCAAAUUCUAAUUGGUUA